rnacentral:rRNA from 1 species
UACAUGGGGUGCAACCGUUGCUCGGAAUUAUUGGGCGUAAAGCGCGCGUAGGCGGUUACUUAAGUCGGAUGUGAAAGCCCUCGGCUUAACUGAGGAAGUGCACCCGAAACUGAGUAGCUAGAGUACUAAAGAGGGUCGCGGAAUUCCCGGUGUAGAGGUGAAAUUCGUAGAUAUCGGGAGGAACACCGGUGGCGAAGGCGGCGACCUGGGUAGAGACUGACGCUGAGGCGCGAAAGCGUGGGGAGCAAACAGG